CGCGGGGUGGAGGACCGGUACCUCGGCGGUCUCAUAAGCCGCAGGAGCGGGUUCAAUUCCCGCCCCCGCAA
rnacentral:tRNA from 3 species